AUGAGCACAAUUUGUUCCGAGCCAUGGAGUAGGAGAGGAAAAGUUUGCAUAACUGAGCUCAACGGUUCUCUAUGUGUGGUUCAGUUGGUGGAACAAAUGACAAUAUGGCUCAUGACUGAAUCCAAUGAAGAUAGGUGGAUCAAAAUGUACACGGUCACAAUGGCCCCAUCCACCUAUUGUGCUAGGCUUCUGUGGGUUACACGCGAUGGUGGAAAAUUGAUCUUCUACUCUUGGCUGCAUGGACAAGCACCGGUACUCCGAGCUUAUGAUCCUUGUUCCGAGACAUGUUCAACGCUACGGGAACUAGAAUAUGACGUUGAGAUAAUUCGUCUUUGCAGCUUGCAGUUGAACCCUUUUGUCACGAGGAAGAUUUGA
rnacentral:rRNA from 1 species